UAAAAAACGUUGAAAAAAAUUAAAAAAAAAAUAAAAAACCUGAAUAAACUAAGUUUUAGGUGAUCUUUCAAUAAUAAAGGGAUUCUUGGGGUAAAACAUUGAGAACUACUCUAUUUAGUACUUAGAAAAAAAAAAAAUUAAGAGGCGCCCAAAAGGGAUUGUGGGAGAAAGCUCUUUUUCUUUCCAUCUGGCAGCAGCCAUUUCACUCAAAGGUCAACCAAGAUGGGCGCUUACACGUACAUCCUGGAGCUAUGGAGAAAGACACAGUCUGAUGUAAUGCGCUUUAUUCUCAGUACUGCCAGUUACUCUGCGCUUUACAGGGUACCCCAUUCAGCCCGGCGUGCUAAAGCCCCCAGACUGGGAUACAAUGCCAAGCAAGGUUAUGUCAUGUAUCGGAUUCACGUGCACUGCGGUGACUACAAAUGCCCAGUUCCUGAAGGUGCAACCUAUGGCAAGCCUGUCCAUCAUGGUGUUAACCAGCUAAAGUUUGCCCCAAGUCUUCACUCUUGCCUAGGAAUAAGCUGGAUGCCACCAUGGGGCUCUGAGAGUCCUGAUUUUUUACUGGAUUGGUGAAGAUCCCACGUACGAAUUCUUUGAGGUUAUCCCCAUUGAUCCAUUACAUAAAGCUGUGAGAAGAAAUCCCAACACUCACUGGAUCAGCAAACUAGCUCUCAAACAGGGAGAUUCAAGAAUUGACCUGUAGGCCCCAAGAGACAUGGCCUUGGAAAGGGUCACAAGUUCCACAUGAGGCAGCUUGGAGAAGACGCAGUACCCUCCAGCUCCACUGUUACUGCUAAUCCAUAAAGGAGGCAGAAAAAUUUUCACCAAUCCUUGCAGUAUUCAUUAAAAUAAGAAUUUUCACCAUGGCCAUGACAAGAACCCUAAAUAAUUCCAUGGCCCAGAGUUGUGCUUUCCUGAAGUUAGGAUCCCAGACAGGCCUGAUUCUUCAGCAAUUCUGGUCUUCUGCUGAGUAGGAGCAUUAGUCAAGGCCUGAAGGAGGAGGAAACAAUUAUCUCCUGAGAAAGCCUUCUGUAAUCUGGAACACCACAGAUUUCUCAGAAUGGGAGUUGAGAUCAGAGUGUCUCCUGGUUCUUGAUGAAACAAUUCAGUCCAAUCAAGGACACACACCUGGAAAAAUGACUGGCUUCUGGAAACAGUGUUAUUCUGGUAUUUAGGAAUAACCCAGCUGUUGAGCACCAGGAAAUAAGCUUCAAUCAACUAUAUUUCUUGUUAAAUGCUAGAGACUCAUUAGAUAAUAAUUCUGUUUCAAUAAUAGUAACGACAGAGCAUUUAUUGAGUGCUUAUUUCAAGGCAGGCACUUGAUAUUCAUUAUAUUAUUGAAGAUUUUUAUUUGGCAUUUUAUAUUACUUCCUCUGCCCUGCCAGCUGAUGUACACAGAAAUCUGCCCCAAUAUCUGUUGGGGUCCUGAUUAAGUCUGAGAAAAUUCUGUUGUAAAUAAGCCACAAAAGAUUUUAUCUUUGAUCCUUUCCUCUGUAUUCUGUAUUAAAAAAAAAAAAGUUCAGAAAUA